AAUGAACGCUGGCGGCGUGCCUAAUACAUGCAAGUCGAGCGAACAGAUGAGGAGCUUGCUCCUCUGACGUUAGCGGCGGGCGGGUGAGUAACACGUGGAUAACCUACCUAUAAGACUGGGAUAACUUCGGGAAACCGGAGCUAAUACCAGAUAAUAUAUUGAACCGCAUGGUUCAAUAGUGAAAGACGGUUUUGCUGUCACUUAUAGAUGGAUCCGCGCCGCAUUAGCUAGUUGGUAAGGUAACGGCUUACCAAGGCAACGAUGCGUAGCCGACCUGAGAGGGUGAUCGGCCACACUGGAACUGAGACACGGUCCAGACUCCUACGGGAGGCAGCAGUAGGGAAUCUUCCGCAAUGGGCGAAAGCCUGACGGAGCAACGCCGCGUGAGUGAUGAAGGUCUUCGGAUCGUAAAACUCUGUUAUUAGGGAAGAACAAAUGUGUAAGUAACUAUGCACGUCUUGACGGUACCUAAUCAGAAAGCAACGGCUAACUACGUG
rnacentral:rRNA from 1 species